rnacentral:lncRNA from 1 species
AUGAGUAUUUGCUAUCUACAAAUAGAAAGUACUUAAGUAUAAGUACUUUCUACUUGUAGAUGGUGGACACUCAUCUAUAAGCUUAUAAUAAUCAAAUCUUAGCAAUUAAGUUACACAUGAUCUUAGCAGUUAAAAGAAAUUCUGUCUUGUUUACAAAACUCUGAAAUGACAAGGACAACAAUAGCCAGUAGUGCUCUGGGAUUUAUAUUAUACCUUUCAUAAUAUGCUUAAUCAUUGUGAAGGUAUAACAUCUAGAAACUUAUUCCUAAGAAUUAAACAACAUCAAUAUAUUACAAUGAAUGGUAAUCUCUCUACUGUCCUGGCUAGAAGAUUCUAUGAAUAUAAUUUACAGAUUAUGUGGAAUGAAGUAAGAGUUGUAAAAACUUGUUCAAGUAAUAAAGAUUUAUUCCUAGAAGAAGCAUUAAUAAUAGCAC